CAACUCUGAGUCAGCAGAACCCGGAAAGGUCCCUGUGGUUCCCUUGCUGACUCACUGCGCCCCUUCCUCGCAGGCUCUGACCGGCAGCACAUGGAGUGGCCAAGCUGUGGUGGCCAGGUGGGGUCCUGACUUCCUGGGCCAUGGGGAGGAAGCUGAAGAAUGGAAGGACACUCAGGAUUCACUGAAGGGGCUCCCCAGAUUUUGAUCAUAGCCGCAGAAAUGAUCUCAUGUUUCUUGGGAAGAAGGGUCCUUGGAGCUGAAGACGGUUUUGGGGAGUGAAAGAAACCACCUUUUCCUGGUAGUAGCAGAGCCAAAACUCCAGCCUUCAACCCACAGACCUGGGUCUGUCCCCAGGCAUUACCACCCACCCCGGGGCCCCAUUGUCAUCUGUGACUUUUGCCUCCCUGCAUCUCAGUUUCCGUGCCUGUCAAGUGGAGAUAUAAUACCUCAUUCUGGGGAGAUACAAUGAAGUACUGCUGGUGAAAAGUACACGUGCUAUACAAAAUUAGGAAAUCCUCGUCACCAGACUUAGCGAAAAAUACAGAGUGGAGUUGACUUCCAGGAUGGAGACACAACUUCCCAGAAUCCUGUUUCACCUGAGGCACAGAAGCUUUCCUUUGUUCACCGUUGCCAGAAGUUAUUGGGCUGUGGCUGGGAUUACCUGUCAGAAUUCACAGGUGAGCUCCACUCUGCACAGGGCCAUGAGACCCUCCU
rnacentral:lncRNA from 1 species